rnacentral:rRNA from 1 species
CACCGCCCGUCACAUCACGAAAGUGGGUUGUACUAGAAGUCUGUGCCCUGACCCGCAAGGGGAGGAGCGGCCCAAGGUAUGACUCAUGAGUUGGGUG